GAUGAACGCUGGCGGCGUGCCUAAUACAUGCAAGUCGAGCGAAUGGAUUAAGAGCUUGCUCUUAUGAAGUUAGCGGCGGACGGGUGAGUAACACGUGGGUAACCUGCCCAUAAGACUGGGAUAACUCCGGGAAACCGGGGCUAAUACCGGAUAACAUUUUGAACCGCAUGGUUCGAAAUUGAAAGGCGGCUUCGGCUGUCACUUAUGGAUGGACCCGCGUCGCAUUAGCUAGUUGGUGAGGUAACGGCUCACCAAGGCAACGAUGCGUAGCCGACCUGGGAGGGUGAUCGGCCACACUGGGACUGCGACACGGCCCAGACUCCUACGGGAGGUAGCAGUAGGGAAUCUUCCGCAAUGGACGAAAGUCUGACGGAGCAACGCCGCGUGAGUGAUGAAGGCUUUCGGGUCGUAAAACUCUGCUGUUAGGGAAGAACAAGUGCUAGUUGAAUAAGCUGACACCUUGACGGUACCUAACCAGAAAGCCACGGCUAACUACGUGCCAGCCGCCGCCGUAA
rnacentral:rRNA from 1 species